rnacentral:rRNA from 1 species
GACGAACGCUGGCGGCGUGCCUAAUACAUGCAAGUCGAACGCACUCUCGUUUAGAUUGAAGGAGCUUGCUCCUGAUUGAUAAACAUUUGAGUGAGUGGCGGACGGGUGAGUAACACGUGGGUAACCUGCCCUAAAGUGGGGGAUAACAUUUGGAAACAGAUGCUAAUACCGCAUAAAACCUAACACCGCAUGGUGUAGGGUUGAAAGAUGGUUUCGGCUAUCACUUUAGGAUGGACCCGCGGUGCAUUAGUUAGUUGGUGAGGUAAAGGCUCACCAAGACCGUGAUGCAUAGCCGACCUGAGAGGGUAAUCGGCCACACUGGGACUGAGACACGGCCCAGACUCCUACGGGAGGCAGCAGUAGGGAAUCUUCCACAAUGGACGAAAGUACUGAUGGAGCAAGCCGCGUGAGUGAAGAAGGUUUCGGAUCGUAAAACUCUGUAGUUGGAGAAGAAUGUAUCUGAUAGU